rnacentral:rRNA from 1 species
GACGAACGCUGGCGGCGUGCUUAACACAUGCAAGUCGAGCGGUAAGGCCCUUUCGGGGGUACGACGAGCGGCGAACGGGUGAGUAACACGUGGGUGACCUGCCCUCAGCUCUGGGAUAAGCCUGGGAAACCGGGUCUAAUACUGGAUAUGACUCCAUGACGCAUGUUGUGGGGUGGAAAGCCUUGUGCGGCUGAGGAUGGGCCCGCGGCCUAUCAGCUUGUUGGUGGGGUGANGGCCUACCAAGGCGACGACGGGUAGCCGGCCUGAGAGGGCGACCGGCCACACUGGGA